GACGAACGCUGGCGGCGUGCUUAACACAUGCAAGUCGAGCGGUAAGGCCCUUUCGGGGGUACACGAGCGGCGAACGGGUGAGUAACACGUGGGUGACCUGCCCUCAGCUCUGGGAUAAGCCUGGGAAACCGGGUCUAAUACCGGAUAUGACUCCAUGACGCAUGUUGUGGGGUGGAAAGCCUUGUGCGGCUGAGGAUGGGCCCGCGGCCUAUCAGCUUGUUGGUGGGGUGAUGGCCCUACCAAGGCGACGACGGGUAGCCGGCCUGAGAGGGCGACCGGCCACACUGGGACUGAGACACGGCCCAGACUCCUACGGGAGGCAGCAGUGGGGAAUCUUGCGCAAUGGGCGAAAGCCUGACGCAGCGACGCCGCGUGAGGGAUGACGGCCU
rnacentral:rRNA from 1 species